rnacentral:rRNA from 1 species
GACAUAGGUGGCGAACGUUAUCCGGAAUUACUGGGCGUAAAGAGUGCGUAGGUGGUUCAAUAAGUUACUGGUGGGAAAUCGGGGCUCAACCUCGUGGAAGUCAGUAAUACUAUUAAACUAGAGGGUCGGAGAGGUUAACGGAAUUCUAUGUGUAGCGGUAAAAUGCUUAAAUAUAUAGAGGAACACCAAACGGCGAAGGCAGUUAACUAUUCGAUUCCUGACGUUGAGGCACGAAAGCGUGGGGAGCAAGACGG